CUUGUCGCGAUGGAUCAAAUGGCCCAUCAACAGCAAGAGGAAUGGACAGAAGAUGCCGAGGAAGUACUAAUAAACCUUUGGAGGAAUGAGCCCUGCCUCUACGAUGUUAAUGCAAAAAUUUACAGCAAUAAGCAUAUGAGACAAAAAAAGAUUGAGGAAUUUAGCGUUAUCGUGGGGAAAAGUGAUGCUGAGGUGAAGAGGCAUUUAAAUUCUCUUAGAACGCAGUUCAUGAGGUACCGAAAAGCACUUCCAAGCGGAAGCGCUGCUAAAAAACGACCAGCCAGAGACAGCAGUGGGUGCUGGAACAAUGCUCAUGGCUUAUGCCAUAUAUGAAACGGAGGACCUCGCAGUCUACAUUAGAUGUUUUAGAUGAAUGUGAUGAGAUUUCAGAAGAUCCUGUAGAAAUUCUACAAUCCAUACACAAACUGAAUGUGAAACGCCAAGUCCAGAAGUUCCUGAACUAGCAAUCAGGCCGACGUCUAAAGCAUCCAAACGAAAAAAAUAGAAAUUGAAAAUGAAGAACUUCAAUUAAUAAAAAAAUUGUCAUCAGCUUUUAAAGAGCACGAUGAUAAUGCUGUUGUUGAUAAAACUGAUGAAGAUUUCGUGUUUGGCAGAUAUAUUGAAAGUGAAAUGAAAUUAAUCAAAAAUAAAAAAAACCAAAGCAAUACUGAAAAACAAAAUCCAAAAUGAGAUUUUUCAAGCCAAAAUAG
rnacentral:misc_RNA from 1 species